UGAGAAAGACAUAGUGGUUAUGAAAUUGGCUUGAAACCAGUCUGAGGAGGUUCGAUCCCUUCCUUUCUUAU
rnacentral:tRNA from 1 species